GGGCGAUUUUGUAUUUGGAGGGCAACCUGGCGACUAAAGUUUUCAGUGACCCAAUUACUGGACUUGUUAGGCGCAUAAGGGAAGUUGCUAUCCGUGCAGAUGGUCGUCUUGUUUUUCUUGGCGACGUAAGCAAGGCUGCUGAAACCGAGCAAGGAGGGCUCAGAAGCGCUGGCUAUUAUUGAGAACAAUCAUCCAGUUUUCCAAGGUCGCCGCUACAGAUGAAAUAAAGCACAGCACGGCUUCAUUUCUUUAACCCAUAUCACCACCGUGAUUUCUUACAGAUUCCGUCGUCAGCUUCCAUGGACGUACACGGAUGCUUCCAACAGAUGAUUGGGAAUUGGGUGUCUCACUAUGUCGCUAGAACUAGUCAUAGGUGCUGUAUGUUGUCCUUCAGUAAAAUUUCCUUCUCGAAGAGUCUGCCCUAUUGCUUACUGCUGUAAUUUGGGCAAUGGCUUGUUCAAAAUUUGACCAAAAAUGUUCAUUUCGUUUCCACUAUCAGUUCUUUUACUAUGUAAGCUUCAAUUAUAUGUUUGCAUCAUUUGAUACAUAUUACUAUGUAAGAUUUAAUUGUUUGGAAUA